rnacentral:ribozyme from 1 species
UGUUCGUCCUGGCGCAACCUUUACGUGGUCCUCGGGAUAAGUACUCUCCGACUCAAGCGAGGGUAUCAGCAACCUUAUGGGUUGUUGCUACACUCUCGGAUGAGGAAACUAGCAUGCGC